GAUGAAGAACGCAGCGAAAUGCGAUAAGUAAUGUGAAUUGCAGAAUUCAGUGAAUCAUCGAAUCUUUGAACGCACAUUGCGCCCGCCAGUAUUCUGGCGGGCAUGCCUGUCUGAGCGUCAUUUCAACCCUCAUGCCCCUAGGGCGUGGUGUUGGGGAUCGGCCAAAGCCCGCGAGGGACGGCCGGCCCCUAAAUCUAGUGGCGGACCCGUCGUGGCCUCCUCUGCGAAGUAGUGAUAUUCCGCAUCGGAGAGCAAUGAGCCCCUGCCGUUAAACCCCCAACUUUCCAAGGUUGACCUCAGAUCAGGUAGGAAUACCCGCUGAACUUAAGCAUAUCAAUAAGCGGAGGA
rnacentral:misc_RNA from 1 species